UACGUAGGGGGCAAGCGUUAUCCGGAUUUACUGGGUGUAAAGGGAGCGUAGACGGUAUGGCAAGUCUGAAGUGAAAGCCCCGGGCUCAACCCGGGAACUGCUUUGGAAACUGUUAAACUGGAGUGCUGGAGAGGCAGGCGGAAUUCCUAGUGUAGCGGUGAAAUGCGUAGAUAUUAGGAGGAACACCAGUGGCGAAGGCGGCCUGCUGGACAGUAACUGACGUUGAGGCUCGAAAGCGUGGGGAGCAA
rnacentral:rRNA from 1 species